GACGUAGGGCGCGAGCGUUGUCCGGAUUUAUUGGGCGUAAAGAGCGCGUAGGCGGCCCGGAAAGUCGGAUGUGAAAACCCGGGGCUCAACCCCGGGCCUGCAUCCGAUACUCCCGGGCUGGAGGCAGGUAGGGGAGAUCGGAAUUCCUGGUGUAGAGGUGAAAUGCGCAGAUAUCAGGAGGAAUACCGGUGGCGAAGGCGGAUCUCUGGGCCUGUCCUGACGCUGAGGCGCGAAAGCUAGGGGAGCGAACAGG
rnacentral:rRNA from 1 species